rnacentral:rRNA from 1 species
CCUACGGGUGGCAGCAGUGGGGAAUAUUGCACAAUGGGGGAAACCCUGAUGCAGCGACGCCGCGUGAGCGAGGAAGUAUUUCGGUAUGUAAAGCUCUAUCAGCAGGGACGAAAAAAGACGGUACCUGACUAAGAAGCCCCGGCUAACUACGUGCCAGCAGCCGCGGUAAUACGUAGGGGGCAAGCGUUAUCCGGAUUUACUGGGUGGAAAGGGAGCGUAGACGGCAGCACAAGUCUGGAGUGAAAUCCCGGGGCUUAACCCCGGAACUGCUUUGGAAACUGUGCGGCUGGAGUGCAGGAGGGGUAAGCGGAAUUCCUAGUGUAGCGGUGAAAUGCGUAGAUAUUAGGAGGAACACCGGUGGCGAAGGCGGCUUACUGGACUGUAACUGACGUUGAGGCUCGAAAGCGUGGGGAGCAAACAGGAUUAGAUACCCCAGUAGUC